AGAGUUUGAUCCUGGCUCAGAUUGAACGCUGGCGGCAGGCUUAACACAUGCAAGUCGAGCGGGGAAAAGUAGCUUGCUACUUAACUUAGCGGCGGACGGGUGAGUAAUACUUAGGAAUCUGCCUAUUAGUGGGGGACAACAUUUCGAAAGGAAUGCUAAUACCGCAUACGUCCUACGGGAGAAAGCAGGGGAUCACUUGUGACCUUGCGCUAAUAGAUGAGCCUAAGUCGGAUUAGCUAGUUGGUGGGGUAAAGGCCUACCAAGGCGACGAUCUGUAGCGGGUCUGAGAGGAUGAUCCGCCACACUGGGACUGAGACACGGCCCAGACUCCUACGGGAGGCAGCAGUGGGGAAUAUUGGACAAUGGGGGGAACCCUGAUCCAGCCAUGCCGCGUGUGUGAAGAAGGCCUUUUGGUUGUAAAGCACUUUAAGCGAGGAGGAGGCUACUCUAGUUAAUACCUAGGGAUAGUGGACGUUACUCGCAGAAUAAGCACCGGCUAACUCUGUGCCAGCAGCCGCGGUAAUACAGAGGGUGCGAGCGUUAAUCGGAUUUACUGGGCGUAAAGCGUGCGUAGGUGGCCAAUUAAGUCAAAUGUGAAAUCCCCGAGCUUAACUUGGGAAUUGCAUUCGAUACUGGUUGGCUAGAGUAUGGGAGAGGGUGGUAGAAUUCCAGGUGUAGCGGUGAAAUGCGUAGAGAUCUGGAGGAAUACCGAUGGCGAAGGCAGCCAUCUGGCCUAAUAC
rnacentral:rRNA from 1 species